UCUCUUUCCCUCACUAUUACGAGGCCGACACCUUCUUCCAAAAUCAGGUGGAAGGAUUGAAUCCGAAAAAGGAUCUUCAUCAAUUUCACGUCGAUCUUGAACCGCGCACUGCUACUCCGUUAAAGGUGGCGGCUCGUUCUCAAAUCAACAUUCUGAUGCAAUCUAUACCCGGGCAUUGAUGUCGUCGAAG